rnacentral:rRNA from 1 species
UACGUAGGGUGCAAGCGUUGUCCGGAAUUAUUGGGCGUAAAGAGCUCGUAGGCGGUCUGUCGCGCCUGCUGUGAAAACUCGGGGCUUAACCCCGGGCCUGCAGUGGGUACGGGCAGACUAGAGUGCGGUAGGGGAGACUGGAAUUCCUGGUGUAGCGGUGAAAUGCGCAGAUAUCAGGAGGAACACCGAUGGCGAAGGCAGGUCUCUGGGCCACUACUGACGCUGAGAAGCGAAAGCAUGGGGAGCGAACAGG